UGCAGUCGACGAUGAUCCGGUGCUUGCAUCGGGGAUUAGUGGCGAACGGGUGAGUAACACGUGAGUAACCUGCCCUUAACUUCGGGAUAAGCCUGGGAAACCGGGUCUAAUACUGGAUAUGACUGCCGGCCGCAUGGUCUGGUGGUGGAAAGCUUUAUGCGGUUUUGGAUGGACUCGCGGCCUAUCAGCUUGUUGGUGAGGUAAUGGCUUACCAAGGCGACGACGGGUAGCCGGCCUGAGAGGGUGACCGGCCACACUGGGACUGAGACACGGCCCAGACUCCUACGGGAGGCAGCAGUGGGGAAUAUUGCACAAUGGGCGAAAGCCUGAUGCAGCGACGCCGCGUGAGGGAUGAAUGCCUUCGGGUUGUAAACCUCUUUCAGUAGGGAAGAAGCCGCUUCGGCGGUGACGGUACUUGCAGAAGAAGCGCCGGCUAACUACGUGCCAGCAGCCGCGGUAAUACGUAGGGCGCAAGCGUUAUCCGGAAUUAUUGGGCGUAAAGAGCUCGUAGGCGGUUUGUCGCGUCUGCUGUGAAAGCCCGGGGCUCAACCCCGGGUCUGCAGUGGGUACGGGCAGACUGGAGUGCAGUAGGGGAGACUGGAAUUCCUGGUGUAGCGGUGAAAUGCGCAGAUAUCAGGAGGAACACCGAUGGCGAAGGCAGGUCUCUGGGCUGUUACUGACGCUGAGGAGCGAAAGCAUGGGGAGCGAACAGGAUUAGAUACCCUGGUAGUCCAUGCCGUAAACGUUGGGCACUAGGUGUGGGGGACAUUCCACGUUUUCCGCGCCGUAGCUAACGCAUUAAGUGCCCCGCCUGGGGAGUACGGCCGCAAGGCUAAAACUCAAAGGAAUUGACGGGGGCCCGCACAAGCGGCGGAGCAUGCGGAUUAAUUCGAUGCAACGCGAAGAACCUUACCAAGGCUUGACAUGUACUGGUAACGCCUGGAAACAGGUGCCCCCUUUUGGGCCGGUAUACAGGUGGUGCAUGGUUGUCGUCAGCUCGUGUCGUGAGAUGUUGGGUUAAGUCCCGCAACGAGCGCAACCCUCGUUCUAUGUUGCCAGCGCGUUAUGGCGGGGACUCAUAGGAGACUGCCGGGGUCAACUCGGAGGAAGGUGGGGACGACGUCAAAUCAUCAUGCCCCUUAUGUCUUGGGCUUCACGCAUGCUACAAUGGCCGGUACAAAGGGUUGCGAUACUGUGAGGUGGAGCUAAUCCCAAAAAGCCGGUCUCAGUUCGGAUUGAGGUCUGCAACUCGACCUCAUGAAGUCGGAGUCGCUAGUAAUCGCAGAUCAGCAACGCUGCGGUGAAUACGUUCCCGGGCCUUGUACACACCGCC
rnacentral:rRNA from 1 species